GCCCAGAUAGCUCAGUUGGUAGAGCAGAGGACUGAAAAUCCUCGUGUCGCUGGUUCGAUUCCGGCUCUGGGCC
rnacentral:tRNA from 1 species